rnacentral:tRNA from 1 species
GCCGAAGUGGUGGAAUAGGCAGACACGCUAGCUUGAGGGGCUAGUGAGCGCUAAGCUCGUGCCGGUUCAAGUCCGGCCUUCGGCACCA